CAGAAGCUUAACCAUAUUUUAAUUUUUGUUUCACUCUGCAGAAGGUUAUUUCAUCUACCAAGAAGCAAGUAAUCUGAUCCCCUUCGACACCAACAGGCUGGAGAGCCCAGAUACUGUCGUUUCUGGAAAAAUAUGCAUAGACUUCUGGUACUACAUGUUUGGAUCAGAAGAGAUGAAUGAGCUGAGAGUGAUUGUCCAAGAUGACACAGGGGAGUCUGUGGUGUGGCAUCGGAAGGGAAACCAGAGUUCCUUGUGGAAAUAUGGUGCCAUCACUCACAGUAUUCCAACACAGAGGAAGAUAAAGGUAAUUUUUGAGGCUGUCCGAGGACUGACAGAGUAUGGGGAUACAGCACUGGACAAUGUGAGAGUAAGGAAUGGACCCUGUGAGGCUGUCCCUACACCUGUACCACCAACACCUACACCAACAGAACCUACACCACUUCCAGUGACAGAAGCUAUUUGCAGUAUACAUGGGGAUCCCCACUACAACACAUUUGACAAGCAACGUCAUGACUUCAUGGGCACCUGCACCUACACCCUCUCCAAGCUGUGCGAGAGCAACAGCUCCC
rnacentral:lncRNA from 1 species